UACGUAGGGGGCUAGCGUUGUCCGGAAUCAUUGGGCGUAAAGAGCGUGUAGGCGGCCCGAUAAGUCCGCCGUGAAAGUCCAGGGCUCAACCCUGGAAUGCCGGUGGAAACUGUCGGGCUGGAGUCCGGAAGAGGCGAGUGGAAUUCCCGGUGUAGCGGUGAAAUGCGCAGAUAUCGGGAGGAACACCGGUGGCGAAGGCGGUUCUCUGGGCCUUACCUGACGCUGAGGAGCGAAAGCGUGGGGAGCGAACAGG
rnacentral:rRNA from 1 species